rnacentral:rRNA from 1 species
UACGUAGGAGGCAAGCGUUGUCCGGAUUUACUGGGCGUAAAGCGCGCGCAGGCGGCAGUGCAAGUAAGGUGUGACAUCUCCCUGCUCAACGGGGCGGGUGCAUUUUAGACUGCACAGCUGGAGGUCGGUAGAGGGGGGUGGAAUUGCUGGUGUAGCGGUGAAAUGCGUAGAGAUCAGCAGGAACACCCGUGGCGAAGGCGGCCCCCUGGGCCGUACCUGACGCUGAGGCGCGAAGGCUAGGGGAGCGAACGGU